rnacentral:misc_RNA from 1 species
AUUCAUUCAUUCAUGCUUUAUUGCAACACUUGCAGCUUCCGGCAUGCAUUUUUGGCUGCUGGAGCUGUGAUUUCUACCUUCAACAACAAGAAAAAGUAGUGAUUUUAACCCUAAAGAUGGUGUUCAAAGGACGUUUUUUCUCAUCGAAGAAAUCGGAUACUUCUAGCCCAGAUGGAUCGUACAACAGUCCAAGAUCCAGUGGUUCAAACUCCCCAAUUCGAUCUGAUGGUAAGAAGAAAGGUAAAUCUAAUUCAAAGGACAAUUCACCAAGUACCCCCACUUCAUUGUCAAGUUUUAUUAGUUUUAGGGAUAAGAAAAAGGAUGCUAAAGGAAAAGAAAGUCAGAAUUCGACUCCGAUUAAGAA